UCCGAGUUAUCCCCGGCAGUCUCCUAUGAGUCCCCGGCCGAACCGCUGGCAACAUAGGACAAGGGUUGCGCUCGUUGCGGGACUUAACCCAACAUCUCACGACACGAGCUGACGACAGCCAUGCAGCACCUGUGUUCCGAUUCCCUUUCAGGCACACCUGGAUCUCUCCAGGCUCUCGGACAUGUCAAGGGUAGGUAAGGUUUUUCGCGUUGCAUCGAAUUAAUCCACAUAAUCCACCGCUUGUGCGGGUCCCCGUCAAUUCCUUUGAGUUUUAGCCUUGCGGCCGUACUCCCCAGGCGGAGUGCUUAAUGCGUUAGCUGCGGCACGGAGAGGGUUGAUGCCUCCCACACCUAGCACCCAACGUUUACGGCUGGGACUAC
rnacentral:misc_RNA from 1 species